GUGCCAGCCGCCGCGGUAAUUCCAGCUCCAAUAGCGUAUAUUAAAGUUGUUGUGGUUAAAAAGCUCGUAGUUGAACCUUGGGCCUGGCUGGCCGGUCCGCCUCACCGCGUGCACUGGUCCGGCCGGGCCUUUCCCUCUGUGGAACCCCAUACCCUUCACUGGGCGAAAAAGAGGAAACAGGACAUUUACUUUGAAAAAAUUAGAGUGCUCCAGGCAGGCCUAUGCUCGAAUACAUUAGCAUGGAAUAAUAAAAUAGGACGCGCGGUUCUAUUUUGUUGGUUUAUAGGACCGCCGUAAUGAUUAAUAGGGACAGUCGGGGGCAUCAGUAUUCAACUGUCAGAGGUGAAAUUCUUGGAUCAGUUGAAGACUAACUACUGCGAAAGCAUUUGCCAAGGAUGUUUUCAUUAAUCAGGAACGAAAGUUAGGGGAUCGAAGACGAUCAGAUACCGUCGUAGUCUUAACCAUAAACUAUGCCGACUAGGGAUCGGACGGUGUUAUUCAUGACCCGUUCGGCACCUUACGAGAAAUCAAAGUGCUUGGGCUCCAGGGGGAGUAUGGUCGCAAGGCUGAAACUUAAAGAGAUUGACGGAAGGGCACCACCAGGGGGUGGAGCCUGCGGCUUAAUUUGACUCAACACGGGGAAACUCACCAGGUCCAGACACAAUAAGGAUUGACAGAUUGAGAGCUCUUUCUUGAUUUGUGGGGUGGUGGUGCAUGGCCGUCUUAGUGGUGGGGUGACUUGUCUGCUUAAUGCGAUAACGAACGAGACUUAACUGCUAAUAGUCCCGCAUGCUCCGGCAGUGCGCUGGCUCUAGAGGGACUUUCGGCUCAAGCCGAAGGAAG
rnacentral:rRNA from 1 species